rnacentral:rRNA from 1 species
AAUGGGCGCAAGCCUGAUCCAGCCAUGCCGCGUGAGUGAUGAAGGCCUUAGGGUUGUAAAGCUCUUUCAGCAGGGAAGAUAAUGGCGGUACCUGCAGAAGAAGCCCCGGCUAACUCCGUGCCAGCAGCCGCGGUAAUACGGAGGGGGCUAGCGUUGUUCGGAUUUACUGGGCGUAAAGCGCGCGUAGGCGGCUUGCCAAGUUGGGGGUGAAAGCCCAGGGCUCAACCCUGGAAUUGCCCUCAAAACUGGCUCGCUAGAGACCGGGAGAGGUGAGUGGAAUUCCCAGUGUAGAGGUGAAAUUCGUAGAUAUUGGGAAGAACACCAGUGGCGAAGGCGGCUCACUGGACCGGUACUGACGCUGAGGCGCGAAAGCGUGGGGAGCAAACAGGAUU